rnacentral:rRNA from 1 species
GACGAACGCUGGCGGCGUGCUUAACACAUGCAAGUCGAGCGGAGCGGCGGACGGGUGGGUAACGCGUGAGUAACUGCCCCCCGCGCUGGGAUAACAGCUGGAAACGGCAGCUAAUAGCGGCUAGUGGGGGAUGACUCGGGUCCUAUCAGCUUGUUGGUGGGGUAGUGGCCUACCAAGGCGACGACGGAUAGCCGGCCUGGGAGGGGGACCAGCCACAUGGGUCUGAGGUACGGCCCAGACUCCUACGUGGGGCAGCAGUGGGGAAUAUGGCACAAUGGGGGAACGCCUGUGGCAGCAGCGCCGCGUGCGUGAUGACGGCCUGCGGGUUGUAAACCGCGUUCAGCCAUGACGCGGUAGUGGCAGAAGAAGCACCGGCUAACUACGUGCCAGCAGCCGCGGUAAUUC